GACGUAGGGCGCAAGCGUUGUCCGGAAUUAUUGGGCGUAAAGAGCUCGUAGGCGGCUUGUCGCGUCGACUGUGAAAACCCACGGCUCAACCGUGUGGCCUGCAGUCGAUACGGGCAGGCUAGAAUUCGGUAGGGGAGACUGGAAUUCCUGGUGUAGCGGUGAAAUGCGCAGAUAUCAGGAGGAACACCGGUGGCGAAGGCGGGUCUCUGGGCCGAUAUUGACGCUGAGGAGCGAAAGCGUGGGUAGCAACAGGAUUAGAAC
rnacentral:rRNA from 1 species